GCUCCGUUCCCACCCACCUUCCUGCCCCUCAGAGGGGAGCGAGCCUGACACACUCUUAAUUUGUUCUAAUUGUCUCAUCAGGGGAGAACUAAUGGUGCCGGCCUGCUGGCAACACUUGGCUGCGUCUGGAAAACAACACCAAGUAGGUGUCCUGAACAAAGCAGACUGGAAAUUCCCUGUUCCUGGAGUAUCCAAGAACCAGGGAAGAUGCUCUUCCCCUUCAAAGAAUUGGGAAUGGAUCCGAGUCAAGGGAAGGAACCCAAAGCACACAGAAACUUUAGUCAGCCAGGGCUGUCCAAGGAUUGUCUGUUCAGUCCUGACCAGACCUGUCCUCCAACCCACAGAAGACCGUGGUUUUUGUGAAACUGUUCUUGGCUAUAAAAUUUGGGUUGCAGAAUCCCUUUUAUUCCUGAUGCAGAAGAUGGAAAGAGCCCAAUUUAAUUUUAGCAUCCCAAGCAGAGUUUGAAGGGCAGGAAUCUUCAGCCCCAGGGAGAGAAUCAAGCUGUAUAAAUUGUUUGCAACUCCAGCCUCAGGGAACAGGGCAGAGGGAGAUGAGCAGGAAGAGUGAGAGGCUGAAGCACUUGGUGACACCAGGAUUGCAUCAAGCAGUAGAGCAGCCAAGGACUUUGCAAUUUUCUUCCCAUUUUCCUGGCUAAUCUGUUCAGGCUGGAGCCAAACCCACUGAGCUGGGCAAGGGUUUGGCAUCACAUCAGUGCUUUAAUAACCAUCUCUCCCCUGAAUUUGUUUUUGCACACUGUAGAUCUGACAUUAUCAACUAUAAAAUUCUACCUUCUGCAACAAAUACAACCUCAUUGUGAUUUCUUUGAAGGCAGUGCAGAUGACCCGGGGUACUUAAGCAAGUAGAAACUAUGCAAAAAAACCCUGGUAAAUAUCUAGCUUGUCCUUACCCUGAUGAAAAAGUUUCUGACAUUACUAUCACACUAAGACAAAUUUAGUAUUUCCUUUUAUUUUUAUGAGUAAUUUCUUAAUCAAAGGCACCAAGAAUCCAAAAUCUUAGCAGUAAAAGUUCAAUUCCCCAACACUUUAAUGGUCAAUUAACUGAUGACCUUGAGUCUCUAAAGGAUUUCCAGAGUAAUUUAGUAAGUGCAUAGUUACACCAAGUACUGAAAAUACACUUGGAACCAAUUUUCUGUAUGUGCAGUGCACUGCUGGGUCACUCCUUUGUGCAUGUCUUUGACCCUUAUCUGUAAUAAUAUAUUCCUGCAGAGAAAACUGGAAUUAUUCCACAGUACAUUAUUACUGCUCAGAAAACUCCUUUAAUGUUCACACUGAUAAAGAUAUUAAUGUAGUAGAAUUAGACAUAUCCUUUUGUCUGAACGGCACUUGAAAAUCUCUGUUGUGACUACAGUUGACUGAAGCUCAAUUACUUUAAUAAAUGUAUUCCAAAUUUCACCUUGAUUACAUUAGCAUUUUAAUGAAGGAUUCUUGCCUACUUGUCAAAUAGGCAGCCCAGCUAAAUUUAUUAAGUUAUUGUAUAAACAGGGUAU